UACGUAGGGGGCUAGCGUUGCUCGGAAUCACUGGGCGUAAAGGGCGCGUAGGCGGGCUUUCACGUCAGGGGUGAAAUCCUGGAGCUCAACUCCAGAACUGCCUUUGAUACUGAAGAUCUUGAGUUCGGGAGAGGUGAGUGGAACUGCGAGUGUAGAGGUGAAAUUCGUAGAUAUUCGCAAGAACACCAGUGGCGAAGGCGGCUCACUGGCCCGAUACUGACGCUGAUGCACGAAAGCGUGGGGAGCAAACAGG
rnacentral:rRNA from 1 species